rnacentral:rRNA from 1 species
UUGCUUCUUUUGGAUGAGUUGCGAACGGGUGAGUAACGCGUAGGUAACCUGCCUUGUAGCGGGGGAUAACUAUUGGAAACGAUAGCUAAUACCGCAUAACAGCUUUUGACACAUGUUAGAAGCUUGAAAGAUGCAAUUGCAUCACUACGAGAUGGACCUGCGUUGUAUUAGCUAGUAGGUAGGGUAACGGCCUACCUAGGCGACGAUACAUAGCCGACCUGAGAGGGUGAUCGGCCACACUGGGACUGAGACACGGCCCAGACUCCUACGGGAGGCAGCAGUAGGGAAUCUUCGGCAAUGGGGGCAACCCUGACCGAGCAACGCCGCGUGAGUGAAGAAGGUUUUCGGAUCGUAAAGCUCUGUUGUAAGAGAAGAACGUGUGUGAGAGUGGAAAGUUCACACAGUGACGGUAACUUACCAGAAAGGGACGGCUAACUACGUGCCAGCAGCCGCGGUAAUACGUAGGUCCCGAGCGUUGUCCGGAUUUAUUGGGCGUAAAGCGAGCGCAGGCGGUUUAAUAAGUCUGAAGUUAAAGGCAGUGGCUUAACCAUUGUUCGCUUUGGAAACUGUUAAACUUGAGUGCAGAAGGGGAGAGUGGAAAAUCACUGUGUUAGCC